CCCUUAGACGUUCUGGGCCGCACGCGCGCUACACUGACCGGUGCAACAAGCAUCCGUCCUUGGCCGACAGGCCCGGGCAAUCUUUGAACGCCGGUCGUGAUGGGGAUAGACUUUUGCAAUUUUUGGUCUUCAACGAGGAAUUCCUAGUAAACGCAAGUCAUCAACUUGCAUUGAUUACGUCCCUGCCCUUUGUACACACCGCCCGUCGCUCCUACCGAUUGAAUGGUCCGGUGAAGCGUUCGGACCGUGGCCUUUGGACGGUUCGCCGUCUGUUGGCUGCGGGAAGUUCGUUAAACCUUAUCAUUUAGAGGAAGGAGAAGUCGUAACA
rnacentral:rRNA from 1 species